rnacentral:piRNA from 1 species
UAAGUAUUUCUUCCUCUUGUUCGGC